CUGACCUCAGGUGAUCCGCCCACCUUGGCCUCCCGAAGUGCUGGGAUUACAGGAAUGAGCCACUGAGCCCAGCCAGCUUAUUAAGUUUAAAUCAGAACAUGCUGGCAGCCUGGGGGCCUUGAGCCAUCCACAGACAGGCUUCCUUCGAAUUGGCUGCAACCAUAAAAACAAAACUAAACAAAAACCAGAGCUCUGGUUUAAAAGGGAAAAGUAGCAGAUUCGCCAACACCAGGUGCACAUUCCUGAGAAGUGGCUGCCCUGUCUACACAGGGCAUUUUCUUCUGAAGCCCCACUCUGCCUCCCCAGCAUGCUUCAUCCAUUUCCCUAUGUCGUCUGGCCCCUGUGGGCAUGAGUUUGAGACCCCUGGUCUAAGUGAAUUGCAAUAAUAAAAGCAAGUGCUUACUGAA